CAUCAGAAGGAUGGAUUCUGUCUUCAUAUCCAUUGUGCUAUCCUGUGUCUCUUUAUAGUGGCUGCAGGUGGUGUCUCUUCCUUUCCAGGUGCGUAUAGGUCUGGGGGGUCCUCUUCAGGUGGGUGCAAUUGGCUUCAAUGCUCUGAUGGGUCUCAAGGUGGAUGCAGGUGGGUCUGAGGCACUUGCUCUCCAGGUGGGUGAGAGUGGGACUAGGGCAUAGAUGUCAGAAGACUCUAGGUUCCUUGGUCCUCAGGGGCCGAUUGAAUCUGCCUCUGCACUGCAUGGGGACCAGAAUGGCCCAGUGAUCUCAAUAAGCAACCAUGUCUUCCUUAAAUAAACUCUGGCUGAUUCAAGGAAGAGUCUUGAAAGGGCUUGAUAUGCAGCAAAGUUCUUCCAGCCUGGCAGGUAUUAUAAAAUCAAUUCCAUAUGCAUUAUAAAUAUCAGCUAUAACUUGAAAAGUCUGCACUAGGCCUCAUACCAGGUUGGACUUUACCAAUUUUUAUUUUGAUACAUUUUCAUGCUAUUUCACUAGUUCCAUGUUAUUAAAGGACUCCUCUAGUUUAUUUCCAUUAACUUGUAAUGUUCUGGUUCCUAAAUAUAGAACUUCAUCUCUUUCAAUUCAAAGUUCGAGUUCCAAAGUCAUGACUUCCUGGAGGAAAUGAAUGUCUUUUAAAAGCUAUGAAUUUGAUGUUUAAUGAUAAAUUAAACAUAAUUAAUGUAGUUCUGGAACUGGAGAGUGGAGCUGGCUCUUUUCUAGUGAUUUUCUUUAAGAUCAACUUCAUUCUCUGAUUUUAAAUGACUUUCUUCUGUUGACAGGUCUGUGUGACAGAGAUAAUGAUAUUUCAAGCCUGUACUUACUUUUCCUAGUGAAAGCCCUUGACUUAUGUUUGUCUAUCCAAAUAAACUUAGUAUUGCAGGAGCUGCAGAUCCCCCUGGGGGAAUGAUCGUGUAUCCCAGGAACUGAGGGUCACUCAGCUCACAGUUUCUGAAGCACAGACUGGGGAUCAGAACCCCAUGUAAAGUCAAAUUGUUUCCUUUGCAAAGAUGAGAUGUGAGAUGAGUUAUACCAGAAAUACCUAAUUAAUACAUAUAGACACGAGUUUUUAAAAUCAAGAAAACCACAGUUUCUAGAUUUAGAUGUCACCGUUAACUAUUAUAGCCACUGAAGUAUUUCUUCUAGAUUCAUCAGGGCAGUACCUGCAGUCACGUGACUCGUGGGGUAAGUAGACAUUCAUGUUAUUGUCUAUGGGGUUCAUUAGCAACCACUCCUAAAGAGGAAGAGUACACAAUAUUUAUAGCCAAUGGCUCUAGGUAGAAUAGACAACAUCUAUAUCAGAAGAAAUAUUAAAUUUCCAUACAAUCCAAACUGUUCAUUCCCAAAAAUGAAGAAAGUGCAAACAUUUCCAGGCUUGCUGUGUUCACUGGGAUUGCUACAGUGUUUGAAAAACAGUUCCUACUCAGGAACUUAGCAGGAAAGGCAGAAGCACAUAAGGAACAAAGGUACCAAAGAGCAAGCCAUCAAUUACAACCUGGGACAUUGAAAAAGAAUUACUAGAAACUGUGUCAUGUGAGCCAAGGAAAGAGGAUGAGUAGUGGUUUGCAAAUAAAGAAAAGUGAGGAAGGAAAUAUCAUGGUAAAGCCAUAAAGGCAAGAAGCAUCAGUGUGAAUGUCAGGAGGUAGGGUCAGCUCAAUACCACUUGAGCAUAAUACAGAAGGAAGGAGUAACGAAAAGUGAGACCAAAUACAAAAAUGCUGAGUGAGAUCAUGAACACAGUCAGAAAAUCCAAUUUUGGAGCUGAUGCAGUGAGAGACAGAGAAUGUUUAAGUUAAGAUCACCAUAACAAAAGCAUAAAGGAGAUCCAUGAGGAGAGUACCCAUAAUCUAUUCAUUUCUCAGAUGUUUACUAUGCCCUAGGGACAGAACUGGUUUCAAAGUUGGCAGAGGGCUCACCUUCUUGGCACUUGGCACUUGAAAAUCAAGUAGGGAGAACACCCAGAAGGCCAAGUGGAAGGUCAGAUACUCACUGAUGUGGAAAGCACCUGGAUGGACUUCUAGGUAGGCAUGGUCCAUUCUCUGCAGUCACUACAGGGGCAGGAGGGAGCAGUGACAACUUAAGUUAUGGACAAAUUGGACUUGAAAGUACUUAAAUCUCAGAACUUAAGAAUUUUGACAAUGGGAUAUAUAUAUAUAAUGCAUAAGCCAUGCAUCUGAUGGUGGAUUUUGGCUCUCUGCGAGGAAGUUGGUCACACAUCAACUUUGGGUGUGUCUGUAUUUCUGGAAAGCACGACAUUUGAAUCAGUGGACUGAGCAAAGAUGGCCUCAUCAGUGUGGAUGAGCAAUGUCCAAACAGCUGAGGCCUAAUAUAGCAAAAGAAAGAAGAAUAAGCCCACCCCAUCUCCUGGAGCCUGGACUCCCACAUUCUAUGAGUGGGGGUUUGUUCUAGACCAUUAGGUGACGUCACCCUGGCAAGUUCUUUGCAUGUAUUAAAAUUUCCCCACUCUGAUUUUUUUCAAAAACUAUUUUCUUGUUUUUAACUCCAGCUUUUUCAUAUUUAACAUUUAUUUCUAUUAUUUUAAAGUAUGUGUAUAUGUGCGGGAGGGUGUCUGAACAUGAGUGUAGUACCUGUGGAAACAGAGGAGGUUGUUGUGUUCCCUAGAACUGGAAUUAUAGGCAGUUGUGAGCUGCCUGACAUGUGUGUUGUGGUAACUGAACCUGUAUCCUCUGCAAGAGCAGUGUGGUGGUUUGGAAGGAAAUGGAUCCCAAAGACAGAGGCACUAUUAGGAGAUGCGGCCUUGUUGGAGUAAGCACGUUGCUAUGGGGGUG